rnacentral:rRNA from 1 species
CGAGUACGACCCGUUACGACGGGGAAGUGUCUGAUGUCAGGCUUCCAAGAAAAGCCCGAACCACGUUAAUUCAAAUUGGCCCGUACCCUAAACCGACACAGGUGGGAGGGUAGAGUAUACCCAGGGGCGCGAGAUAACUCUCUCUAAGGAACUCGGCAAAAUGGCCCCGUAACUUCGGGAGAAGGGGUGCCACCGAGAGGUGGUCGCAGUGAAGAGUCCCAGGCGACUGUUUACCAAAAACACAGGUCUCCGCUAAGUCGCAAGACGAUGUAUGGGGGCUGACGCCUGCCCAGUGCCGGAAGGUUAAGGAAGUUGGUCAGGGAGCAAUCCUGAAGCUAGCGACUGAAGCCCCGGUGAACGGCGGCCGUAACUAUAACGGUCCUAAGGUAGCGAAAUUCCUUGUCGGGUAAGUUCCGACCCGCACGAAAGGCGUAACGAUCUGGGAGCUGUCUCGGAGAGAGGCUCGGCGAAAUAGGAAUGUCUGUGAAGAUACGGACUACCUGCACCCGGACAGAAAGACCCUAUGAAGCUUUACUGUAGCUUGGUAUUGGGUUCGGGCUUUGAUUGCGCAGGAUAGGUGGGAGACUAUGAGAUAGCUCUUGUGGGAGUUAUGGAGUCAUUGGUGAGAUACCACUCUAUCAAGGCUAGAAAUUCUAACUUUGACCCGUUAUCCGGGCAGAGAACAGUAUCAGGUGGGCAGUUUGACUGGGGCGGUCGCCUCCUAAAUGGUAACGGAGGCGCGCAAAGGUUCCCUCAGGCUGGUUGGAAAUCAGCCAUUGAGUGUAAAGGCAUAAGGGAGCUUGACUGCGAGACUGACAAGUCGAGCAGGUACGAAAGUAGGCCUUAGUGAUCCGACGGUUCCGCGUGGAAGGGCCGUCGGUCAACGGAUAAAAGUUACUCUAGGAUAACAGGCUGAUCUCCCCCAAGAGUUCACAUCGACGGGGAGGGUUGGCACCUCGAUGUCGGCUCAUCGCAACCUGGGGCUGUAGUCGGUCCCAAGGGUUGGGCUGUUCGCCCAUUAAAGCGGUACGUGAGCUGGGUUCAGAACGUCGUGAGACAGUUCGGUCCAUAUCCGGUGCAGGCGUAGGAACAUUGAGAGGAGUCUUCCUUAGUACGAGAGGACCGGGAAGAACGCACCGCUGGUGUACCUGUUAUCGUGCCAACGGUAAACGCAGGGUAGCCAAGUGCGGAGAGGAUAACCGCUGAAAGCAUCUAAGUGGGAAGCCCACCUCAAGAUGAGUGUUCCCAUGGCAAAAGCCAGUAAGGUCACGGGUAGACCACCCGUUAAUAGGCGCUAGAUGGAAGUCCAGCAAUGGAUGUAGUCGAGGCGCACUAACAGACCGAGGGCUU